rnacentral:tRNA from 1 species
UCGUAUCCCAACUGGCAGAGGAAACGGAUUCAAAACCCGUGCAGUGUGAGUUCGAAUCUCACCGAGGGCACCACGGC